CCUACGGGAGGCAGCAGUGGGGGAUAUUGCACAAUGGGGGGAACCCUGAUGCAGCGACGCCGCGUGGGUGAAGAAGCGCCUCGGCGCGUAAAGCCCUGUCAGCAGGGAAGAAAAUGACGGUACCUGACGAAGCAGCCCCGGCUAACUACGUGCCAGCAGCCGCGGUAAUACGUAGGGGGCAAGCGUUAACCGGAUUUAUUGGGUGUAAAGGGGGCGCAGGCGGGGAUGCAAGACCGGAGUGAAAGCCCGGGGCCGAACCCCGGGACUGCUCUUGGAACUGCGUGGCUGGAGUGCAGGAGGGGCAGGCGGAAUUCCUGGUGGAGCGGUGAAAUGCGUAGAUAUCAGGAGGAACACCGGUUGCGAAGGCGGCCUACUGGACUGCAACUGACGUUGAGGCCCGAAAGCGCGGGUAGCAAACAGGAUUAGAUACCCUGGUAGUC
rnacentral:rRNA from 1 species